rnacentral:tRNA from 1 species
GGGAAUGUGGCUUAGUGGUAGAGUGCUUGCCUAGCAUGCAUGAAACCUGGGUUUGAUUCCUCAGUACCG